GAUGAACGCUGGCGGCGUGCCUAAUACAUGCAAGUCGAGCGAACAGACGAGGAGCUUGCUCCUCUGACGUUAGCGGCGGACGGGUGAGUAACACGUGGAUAACCUACCUAUAAGACUGGGAUAACUUCGGGAAACCGGAGCUAAUACCGGAUAAUAUAUUGAACCGCAUGGUUCAAUAGUGAAAGACGGUUUUGCUGUCACCUAUAGAUGGAUCCGCGCCGCAUUAGCUAGUUGGUAAGGUAACGGCUUACCAAGGCAACGAUGCGUAGCCGACCUGAGAGGGUGAUCGGCCACACUGGAACUGAGACACGGUCCAGACUCCUACGGGAGGCAGCAGUAGGGAAUCUUCCGCAAUGGGCGAAAGCCUGACGGAGCAACGCCGCGUGAGUGAUGAAGGUCUUCGGAUCGUAAGACUCUGUUAUUAGGGAAGAACAAAUGUGUAAGUAACUAUGCACGUCUUGACGGUACCUAAUCAGAAAGCCACGGCUAACUACGUG
rnacentral:rRNA from 1 species